UAUACAGAGAAACCAAUUAUGAGCACACUAGGGCUGCAGUGCCAGUAACCACAGGGUCUCACACCUAUCGCUUGCCCUGUUCAACACAUUUUCAGUGAGAGAUAACGUCCUGCUAUUUGCACGUCUCAAUUCCAGCAGUGCCUCGGAGGGUGUCUUGGUAGAAAUCAGAGCUCACAGUGAUGACGCACGCUACAGGUGGACUAGUAAAGUGCUGCCUAGCAAAGAUGUCCGAUGAGUUUUCUGUAAAAUGACUAAAUGGAACCAGUUGAGAUCCGAUCAUUGCAGCAUACUGCGACCUGACCCUCAGUUUGCAGAGGAAAAGUUAUGCAGCCAAAGCUCACCAGAUUGAGCUGAGGAGAACAGGAAGUACCAGCACAUUCUUGGAAUAGAGAAGAAAAUGCAAAGUUUUAAAGGAAACCAACUUGUACACGUAAGAGUAUAAACACAAUGCUUUAUAGAACACUCACAAGUUGAACAUCAUUACCUCCAGAACAACACCAAGCUGAUUGUAUUUAGAAAAAAAUUGAGGUGCUACACUUCUUCAGCACAUCCUGACUCCCAUUCUUAUUACACAGCCUGAGGUGUGAUCAUGUCUUUAUGUAACUUUAAUCUUGCUUACACUUUAGGGGGUGGGGUGUGCCAAGAAGAACAAUGGUGCAUUCCGCUCUAUCUUUGAUGUCUAAAGACUUUGAGAGUGACGUCUGUUAAUGUCCCCUUCAGACAAUGACCUUUCCGGAUCUGAAUCUGCAGCUCUGCUGCCAGUGUCCGGCAGGAAGCUAGAAGAGCACAGUGAGAACUGUGAGUGGCGUAUCUUCUCCAGGCGUAGUGUAUUUUCCAAUCACAACACUGCAGAAACCAGUUCCUAAGAUUACGAGGUAAGGUAUGCCCAUGGGAGUGUUGUUUGUUCUGCUUUAUUCUUGCUAUAAUUUCUGUUUUGUAUUUUGUAUCCUCAUAGCAUCUUUACCAUCAAGUUUAUUUCAAUGCAAACAUCACAGACUCUUGAAGGUUAUAUUCUCAGCAAUAAAUAAAUAAACACUAUCGGCAAGCCAUGCCUUUUAUUACCAUGACAUACAUGAGAGUCAGAACACAUUCACAUGUCUUGUCUCUGAGCGUGGCCCCACUAACUGCUACAUACCCCCACCCAGAACAUUGCCCAUGUUUAUCCCACACUUCUCCCAAGCAUGUCUCGGCAUGGCUUUCCCUGACUGUCUAUUAAAGUCAUGCAAUUUACACACCUAUACAUGAACUCAAUACAAUCCGACCAUAACAGGGGAAAGACCAGGGUGUUAUUUCAAAUUACCACAUUCAGUGAGUUAAAAAAGUCUACUGCCAGAGCAAUUCAUUUACCAAAUGUACGGCCAACUUGGGAAAUGCAUGGUCAGGCAAUGAACUACUUUUCCACAGAGGAUGGUGCUGGUAUGGGAAUGGCAAGAUUUCACCUUUGGACAGAGUUGAUAGGAACAUUCAAACAACUGAAUAAAUUAUAAUCUUUAGAAGGAAGUCAACUCUGAAAGCUGUGGCCUGGUGGUCAACUUUUGCUCACAGAAUCACAUGAGCCUUACUGCAUGAGUGAGCCGUGUUUGCCUUAGGCCAUAAUUUCUCUCCAUCCUAAGUCUUGUGAGAUUAAAAAUGCCUACUUUUUCUUCUAUUUCCCAGAUGGUUUGUGCUCUUGUCCAAGCUUUUUCUUUUUUUUUCCCUCUUCCAUUUUAAGUGGACAGAGCCAAGGGAAAGGUGAUCCACAGUAAAGAAAAAUCAAUCCCUAAAGAAGCGUCACUGAGAUAAUAGACCACGGACUGCACAGGACAGAGCAUUGGACUCAUAACUCAAGUCCCUGUGAGACGAAGGGGCGACUGCACUGUAGAUGUUUUCCAGAUCUCAACAGGGUUCUGCUCAAAAAACUUGUCCCUGGUAGCAAAACAUGGGUGACAGGGUGAGAUCUGAGGCAAAGAGGAAGAGUCUAAUCAAUAUAAAAAUAAGAGUCCUUAAGGGCAGCCACAUCACACGAGAGACCGUCACCUAGAAUUCUCUAGUCUACUCCAUGUGGGAUGACAGGUUAAUUAACUAUUAUUCAACAGCAAAAUUAGUUCAGUGUUGCUCCCAGGCAGGAGCCAUCUCAGAACAUAACAGAAAUUCAUCUCUCGCUGGGGUCUGGCUGAAAUUCUUACAGUGCUACUCAGCUAGAAAUAAAACCAGGAUGCCUGGCUGAGUAAAAUGCCUUCCUUUAAAUCAAGUAGUGUUAAUGGGGGUUUGUUUGUUUGUUUGUUUUCGUUGCUUGGUUGUUGUUUUUUCUGUUUGUUUGUUUAAGUCAAACAAACCCUGGGUUGAGCUUUAAGAUAUCGAUGACCCUGUUUAAGGAACCCUGGCUACUUCUCCAAGCACGAGUUUCUUUCCUAUCUUAACUACCACCAAAUGAGAGGCAACGGUAAUGCUCUGUAUCAAGAAGCAAAUGUGCCUCGGCCCAUCGGCAGGGCUGUUUGCAAGCCUCUCCCUUGCUGUGGAAGGAACACAGCUUGGUGAUUUGUGCGUGAACAAUUUAAAUGAAUUAAUCCCAUUGAUGAACGAGAAAAAUGAUGUGUUCAAGGCUCAAAUCAAUUUUUCAGACAAAUAAUUAUAAACUAUUGUACAGCUCAGAACUCUACCGUAAUUAGGGGAAUAAAAUAAAAUGCAUACUAAAAACGCAGCAGAAGAUAAUGCAUCACAAAUUAUGGGCUGUGAUCUCAGAGCAAGGACAUGCCACGGGGGACAGUCGCUCCCCUGAUUCCUGUGUUUCAUCUCUGGAGAAGGUUGCUUCUGCUGAGCUCUAAUGUGGUUAUUAUUGCAAUCACAUUAAUGUACCACAACCAUGUGAACAAAAUACGGAAGUAUUUGUUAAAUUUACUAUAUACUUUAUUGAAAUCCCAAAUCCAAGAUUCUAUCUUUUCUCAUUCUCAAAAAAAAAAAAAAGAGAGAAAGAAAGAAAGAAAGAAAGAAAGAAAGAAAGAAAGAAAAUCA